CAGGGAUUGCCUCAGUAACGGCGAGUGAAGCGGCAACAGCUCAAAUUUGAAAUCUGACGGGGCCCGAGUUGUAAUUUGUAGAGGGUGUUUCGGGUACGGUGCCGGUCUAAGUCCCUUGGAACAGGGCGUCAUAGAGGGUGAGAAUCCCGUAUGUGACGGGCGGCCAAGCCCAUGUGAAACCCCUUCGACGAGUCAAGUUGUUUGGGAAUGCAGCUUAAAAUGGGUGGUAAAUUUCAUCUAAAGCUAAAUACCGGCUGGAGACCGAUAGCGCACAAGUAGAGUGAUCGAAAGAUGAAAAGCACUUUGGAAAGAGAGUUAAACAGUACGUGAAAUUGUUGAAAGGGAAGCGCUUGCAGCCAGACCUGUCCGCGGGCGAUCAGCGGCUGAGCCGUGCACUCGUCCGCGAUCAGGCCAGCAUCGGUUCGGGCGGUCGGAUAAAGGCCGCGGGAAUGUAGCUUCCUUUCGGGGGGAGUCUUAUAGCCCGUGGUGCAAUGCGGCCAGCCUGGACCGAGGACCGCGCUUCGGCUAGGAUGCUGGCGUAAUGGUUGCAAGCGACCCGUCUUGAAACACGGACCAAGGAGUCGAACAUCUAUGCGAGUGUUUGGGUGUCAAACCCAUGCGCGCAAUGAAAGUGAACGGAGGUGGGAACCCGGGCGCACCAUCGACCGAUCCAGAUGUCUUCGGAUGGAUUUGAGUAGGAGCAUAGCUGUUCUGACCCGAAAGAUGGUGAACUAUACUUGGAUAGGGUGAAGCCAGAGGAAACUCUGGUGGAGGCUCGCAGCGGUUCUGACGUGCAAAUCGAUCGUCAAAUCUGGGUAUAGGGG
rnacentral:rRNA from 1 species